UACGGAGGGUGCAAGCGUUAUCCGGAAUUAUUGGGCGUAAAGAGCUCGUAGGCGGUUUGUCACGUCUGCUGUGAAAACUGGAGGCUCAACCUCCAGCCUGCAGUGGGUACGGGCAGACUAGAGUGCGGUAGGGGAGAUUGGAAUUCCUGGUGUAGCGGUGGAAUGCGCAGAUAUCAGGAGGAACACCGAUGGCGAAGGCAGAUCUCUGGGCCGUAACUGACGCUGAGGAGCGAAAGCAUGGGGAGCGAACAGG
rnacentral:rRNA from 1 species